UUUCCGGUUGAUCCCGCCGGACCUGACUGCUAUCGGAUUGAUACUAAGCCAUGCGAGUCUUUGUAGUAAUACAAGGCAGACGGCUCAGUAACACGUAGUCAACCUACCCUAUGGACGAGAAUAAUCUCGGGAAACUGAGCAUAAUUCUUGAUAGAUCAUAAUGCCUGGAAUGGUUUAUGGUUAAAAUGAUUCGUCGCCAUAGGAUGGGACUGCGGCCUAUCAGCUUGUUGGUGAGGUAAUGGCCCACCAAGGCGAUUACAGGUACGGGCUCUGAGAGGAGAAGCCCGGAGAUGGGUACUGAGACACGGACCCAGGCCCUAUGGGGCGCAGCAGGCGAGAAAACUUUGCAAUGUGCGAAAGCACGACAAGGUUAAUCCGAGUGAUUUCUGCUAAAGAAAUCUUUUACCAGUCGUAAAACCGCUGGUGAAUAAGGGGUGGGCAAGUUCUGGUGUCAGCCGCCGCGGUAAAACCAGCACCUCAAGUGGUCAGGAUGAUUAUUGGGCCUAAAGCAUCCGUAGCCUGCUUUGUAAGUUUUCGGUUAAAUCCAUGUGCUCAACGCAUGGGCUGCCGAAAAUACUGCAUAGCUAGGGAGUGGGAGAGGUAGACGGUACUCAGUAGGUAGGGGUAAAAUCCUUUGAUCUAUCGAUGACCACCUGUGGCGAAGGCGGUCUACCAGAACACGUUCGACGGUGAGGGAUGAAAGCUGGGGGAGCAAACCGGAUUAGAUACCCGGGUAGUCCCAGCUGUAAACGAUGCAGACUAGAUGAUGCAUUGGCAUAAUAGCCAUUGCAGUGUCUCAGGGAAGCCGUUAAGUCUGCCGCCUGGGAAGUACGUACGCAAGUAUGAAACUUAAAGGAAUUGGCGGGGGAGCACCACAAGGGGUGAAGCCUGCGGUUCAAUUGGAUUCAACGCCGGGA
rnacentral:rRNA from 1 species